UUUUUUUUUUUUUUUAAUUAGGAAGUCAUGCUCCAAAGCCUAUUAAUAAGGAAAUAUCACACCACCACUCUAUUCUGGUCCGUUCAAAAUAGGCAGCACCAGACACUGAGGUUGACUAAUUGUAAGUAAAAAGAACUUUAUGAAACAGUAACAAUGCUGGUGACUUCCGUGCAAUAGGGCUUCGUGCGGUACAAAGGCCUGUGUUCACAAGGAGUCCUUCAGUUGUUGGGUUCCUGUCUCCAGUUAUCAAAAGAAGAGGCUUGGGAAUUGGACUGUCUGCCCAAGGCCCCCAGUGUCCCCCACACUGACAGAUGUGUGUGCUGAAGCUGCAACAUCUGAUUCCCAAGACCAGCCACCCCAGUCCAGGUGAUGUAGGGAUGUGACCAUUACCUGGGGUGACAGAGGCUGCCAUACUGGAGUUUUCUAAUGGUGCACAAGACAUGCAAUUUGUUUAUAUAUAUUUGCAAAUGAAUUUAUCCCAUAGCGCCACUGCCCUCUGGACAAUCAUAACAGAAUCAAAAUACACCAAGAGCAAAACAUUUUCCAGGGAUGAGGUCACCUGCAGCAGGGCGAGGUGGCCUGCAGGUCCACUGGCCUCUGCUCCAAAGGAACUUGGGCAAGUCACCUACCUGCAUGAGUCUGUCACUUGAGAACAAGCCCUUUGGCAUUAUGCUAAAUGAAAUCCGUCAGGAAGAGAAAGACAAAUACUGUAUGACCUCGCUUACAUGUGGAAUAGAAAAAAAAAAUGCAACAAACCAGUGAAUAUAACAAAAAAGAAGCAGAUUCAGAUACAGAGAACAAAUGCGUGGUUACCAUGGAGAAAGAGAAGGAGGGAGGGGCAAUAUAGGGGGAGGGAAAUAAGAGGUACAAACUCUUAGGUAUAAAACAAGCUACAAAGAUACACUGAACAACACAGGGAAUAGAGACAAUAUUUCAUAAUAACUAUAAAUGGAGCAUAACCUUAAAAAACUGUGAAUCACUAUAUUGUAUACCUAUAACAUAUAAUAAUGUCAGCAACUAUAUUUCAAUUAAAAAUAAAUUUUAAAAAAACAAGCUCUUUGGUGCUGAUCUUCAGUUAUAGGAAUAAUUGUGUUUUUUUUGGGGGGGGGGUUAUGCCCUCAGCAUGUGGAAGUUGCCAGGCCAGGAAGUGAACCCAAGCUGUGCCAGUGACCCAAGCCACGGCAGUGACAAACUGGAUCCUUAACCUACCGAGCCUUUAGAGAACUCCCUACUAAUGGUCUUAUACGUUGCCCUCCUCUGCCUUCACUCCCUGCAAAGUACAGAGACUAUAUGGAUCCGACAUAUGUGGAUCCCUGUGGAUCCGACAUAGAGGCGUGGGAUAUUCAGAGAAAAAUGCUAUCUCCCAGUCCUCUUUCCUGUUCCUUCUCCCUUCCUUUCAUUCCCCACCCUGCUCACCUUAGCCCGCUGCUCUCCUCUAGUUCAAUAUAUGAAUAUGUCACUAAGACAAUAAAAUGUUUUUGUCCCAGAAAUCACACAAUUCAAGGAGAUAUAUGAUAUAUAAAUAAUACUAUCUGCAAGGAAGGGGAUCAUAAAUGACAAUGGACAUUGAAAGCCUAACCUUGGGCUUCAGGAGCUGGUGGUCACGGCCAGACCCCCCCACCCGCACAGCCCCCUCCGCCUCUCCCACCACCCUCAGCUCUCAGAGGCCCACCUGGGCUCAGGCCUGAUGCACUGGUAAAAGGCUGCCAUCUUCAUGAAUGUGGAGGGGGCCUCCGGCACUUUCAUCCUCCUGGAGAAGGGCGGGCCUUUCCUGUGCUCCCUAAAGGGGCUUUGGGCCCUCAGGACACCCCCCAGGUGCUGACUGAGAGCCUCAUUCCCUGGCCCCGAGGAAGCGGGGCUUCCGCCACCUCCUGCAGCUGCGCAGGUCCCUGGGCAGGUGUGCAGCACAGCGCGGUGGAAGCUCAGAAACACACGAACUUCCUUCUUUCACUUCAUCCACGUGGACAGCAGGGUGGGGCUGGAGCCACACCUGCCUCUCUGUGAGUAGAGCCUGGUUGCUGGGAGUGGAAAGUGACAAGCCCGGGCUUUGCCUUCCUGUGCUCCCCUCAGGGGUGGGCAGAGGGCAAGUAUUUCCCCAUCAUAGCCAGGCCCCGGGGCCCUGGGGCCACAGCCACUCCCGCACAUUCGCUCCUUGGUUCUGGCUUUCUUGUCAUUCAACCUUAAAGUUCCGGCAUGUUGCCGAGGGUCCCAGACAUGUUUUGUGAACUACUCUCCUGGGAGCUUUCAAAUGCUCCUUUCAGUUGGCACCUGCUAAGCCAUUCACUGUGGCAGCGACACAGUUCCAGCACUCCCUGCUGGGGGAUGGCACCUGGCAGGUGCACAGACCACGCCCCCUGCUGGACAGAAAGCUGCCUCCCUGAUGACGUCCUCUCUGAUGACCCGCAGCUGCCGCUUCAGAAUAAUAGACUUCUGCAGCCCCAGCAUCGCAACUCCACCUGACUCAAGAUCACCCAAGGUCUAGACGCUGCUAACCAGACAGUCAGCAGUUUCCAGGCAACAUCUGGAGGAUUGACAGAAGGCUCUGGAGAACAGGUGUGAUUUGGUAUUACUAAAACCAAAGAGCAGGCAGGCAGCAAGGGUGACUUCUGAAGAUGGUUCUAAAAGAGUCCUAGCUUGCUCUUCUGUUUUCCAAAAUGCUAUCCCUAUCUAUCUAUCUAUCUAUCUAUCUAUCUAUCUAUCUAUCUAUCUAUCUAUCUAUCUAUCUAUCUAUCUAUCUAUCUAUCUAUCUAUCUACCUACCUACCUACCUACCUACCUACCUUCCUACCUACCUACCUACCUGUCUAAAGUUCUGGUCAAAUGGUUUAAAUAGUAAAGAAUAACCAAUGUAGGGAGUUCCUGUUGUGGCUCAGUGGGUUAAGAACCCAACUAGUAUCCAUGAGAUGCAGGUUUGAUCCCUGACCUUGCUCAGUGGGUUAAGGAUCUAGCAUUGCUAUGAGCUGCAACAUAGGUCGAAGAUACGGCUCAGAUCCGUCAUGGCUGUGGCCGGCAGCUGCAGCUCUGAUUUGAUCCCUAUCCUGGGAACUUCCAUAUGUCACAGGUGUGGCCCUAAAAACAAAAACAAACAAACAAACAAAAAAAGAAUCGUGUUACACAAAAACAUUGAUUGAGAAGGGAGAAUGCCCAGGAUACACUGCAAGAUGGAAACGCAUGCUGCAACAGCCCUUCUACAGGGAAUGCACAUCCCAGCAUCCAAAGGGCUUGCUAAACACGGAUUCUUCAGUAAGUCUCAGGUGAGGCCCCAGACUCCGGCAUUUUGAUGGGCCCACACACUCCCGUUGUGCAACUCUGUUGGUGGACAACUCUGUACUGCUAACAAGCUCCUGCAGGACACCGAUUUAUGGCCCAUGGACCCUCUUUCGAGAGCAUCAUGCUAUAAAAUGGCGUUGCCAUCCCCCUGCAUUUUUUUUAAACAAGUUUCUUAAUGCAUAAAAGGAAUACAGGAAGGGCCAUAAGACGAUGUGAUCUGCAGUUAUUUCCAGGUCAUGAAAUGAGAUGUAUUUUAUUUUAUAUAUAUUUUUUCUUUUUAGGGCUGCACCCGCAGCAUAUGGAAGUUCUUGGGCCAGGGGUUGAAGUGGAGUUGUAGCUCACAGCCUACACCACAGCCCCACAACACUGGAUCCAAGCCGCUAAGUUGAGUUCUUAACCUGCUGAGCCAUAACAGGAACUUCUGGAAUGAGGUAUAAACAUUCUCUCUGCACUUUUCUAAGUUUUGUAAAUUUUCUGAUUGAACCAGUAUUCUGUUCACAAUUAGGAGCACCUCCAACAGUUUCUCUUAAAGACAAGGCAGUGUGCUGUAAACGGGCUGGGACUUGGGACCCUGGAGUUGCAGUUUCAUUCCUUUUCCUCUGAGUCUCGGUUUCCUAACCUGGAAAACCUGUGGAAUGGCCAGCUGCCAGCCUGGGAGCAGAUCCUAAGUGUGAGGUUCUGCCUGGUGCCUGGCACACAGCAUCUCAGCCCUGUCAGGCCCUGUUCCCUCCACUGUGGGAAACAAGAGCUUGAAUCUGUGACAACGGUUUCUGUCAUUUUCCCAAGGUACUUCUGCAUUUGCCUCCCCACUGACAGCACAUCACUUCUGUGACAAAGAGUUGGAGGAGAAAGCGUCACUGUGGAGCUUAACUAGGAAGGUGAGCAACUUGCCCAAGGUCAAUGCCAGUGUCUCCAGGGGGCUUCUGUCCCAGGACGCAUGCAGCUUCCCCUCACUACCUCUGACAACCCCCUCGUACCCCCCACACUGAUAUACACACAGGACCAGUCUGCUGUGCUUUGGCCCCAGGGCAGGAACGGUCCCCUGAGCUGAAGUGGCCUGGGACAGAGAUGCAGAACCAGGUCUCCACCAAGUAUCAGGCAGGGGGAGACCCCCACCCUCGUUCCACUUGGCCCACCCAUGCCUCUACUGGGCCUGCUACAGUCCUCGCUCCUUCCUAGGAUUUUAAAAACAUCACGAUGUGCUUUUCCUCAUAUAACACAUGGGACUGUUUAUACACUGAGAGAUGAGAUGGUGAAGUCGUCACCCGUGGUGAAUUCUUGUCAGCUGCAAAGGCAGUCAAACCCCAAAUUUUGGCCCCAAAGCCUAAGGGAGCACCUGUAUUACUUAGAGUGGCUUCUUACAAGGGUCAGAAAUGAGUGAGACAACUUCCAAACAUUCCCUCUGGUGUAUGUUGUUCAGAGUUAACCUUGACAAGUAGCACCUGCCACUUAGGUGGCCUUUAUUGGCUUAAUAUCCCAACAGGACAUUAUAACGAGUACAACAUCCAUCAUGAGUUACACUGCUAUUUAACAACAACAACAAAACCCCCCAAAUAAAAUGAAAAUGGAAAGAAUAGCCAUAGGUCAAGUGGCCACACUGACAGCUGUUCACAGUUUCUUCCCAGUUAAUUGAAACUCUGAGGAAACGUGAAAAUGAGAAAAACACUGGUAGGCAGCACCCUAGCUGGGAGUUAGCGGGCGCUGCUGGGCUGCCUCCCCAGCUCAGGCCACACGCAGCCACAGCCGGCCACCCUCCUGACUCUGGGGAUGCAAAGAAGUCACCUGGUUGUAAGAAGGCAGGUCCCUGCUGUCUGAGAAGGAGGGAAGAGGGGAAGGUACCAGAUGGCAGGGAGAGCAGGAGCAAGGGGAGCAAGGCUGGAAGAGGCAGCUGGUGGGUACCAGGUGGAAUUGUGCCUGAGGAACUGUGGGGCCUGAGGAUUAAUGCACAGACGCACAUGAUUCCUCACCAAGGGUCCCUGGGCAAUAGUUCGCUGCAGCUGCAGACAGAAAUCAAGAGGUGUCACAGAGGAGUUCCCACCAUGGCACAGUGAGUUAAGAACACAACUGCAGCAUUUUGGGUUGCUGGGGAGGCACAGAUUUGAUCCCCAGCCCCGUGCAGGGGGUUAAAGGAUCUGGUGUUGCUGCAGCUGCAGCUUUGAAUUCAGUCCCUGGUUCCUGGAACUUCCAUAUGCCAAGAGUGUGGCAAGAAAGAAAGAAAGAAAAAAAAAAGAAAAGAAAAAAAGGGAAGAAAAGGAAAAAAAAAAAGAAGUGCCACACAGAGCCAGGGUCUACAUUUAUGUGUAACUGGGUCAUCUUGCUGUGCAGUAGAAAAUUGACAGAACACUGUAAACCAGCUAUAAUGGAAAAAAUAAAAAUCAUUAUAAUAAAAAGAUAAACAUGACAGUGUAAGGGAAGAAUAAAUCUGACUCCAUAUUAGAUGUUUCCUUUAUUUUACCAUUUGUGUUCUACUGCUUUUGCUGCAAGUUAAAUCAUGUUGCCUAUAGCCUGAACUACAAAGAACAGCCCAUUCUCGAGGCUCUGACCUUUAAAGGUGUAAGACUUUCCUAUUCCGUAUAGAGAUAAAAAGUUACAGAACAGAGAAUAACAUUUGUGUUGAAGGUUUACAGGAACAUCAUGACCUGACUUAGGUGGGCAGCUGCAAAAACAAAGGAUUCUGACACCAGUAAGUUUGCAACAACCAGCCGCAUUCCGUCCGCUUUUAGUAUAAAAGAAGCCUGAAUUCUAACUCAGGAAAGCUGGUUCUUUGGGACACUAGUCUGCCAGCUUCUCCAUCUGCUGGCUGUCAGGAUAAAAUUAACUAUUCUUUGCCUCCAACGACUUGUUUCUCAUUUUACUGGCCUGUCGUGCAGGAAGCAGUUUGAGGCUGGACUCUUGUAAAAACAGAAGCCAGGAGCUAAUGAACUGCACUUUCACCCCUGAUGGGCUGGCCCUUCAGCCAAGGAUUUGCCUGGUGAGCCUGCAUGACGCUGUGUAUGUCACCACGUAUAUAUGGCCUGGAUGCCCACUCACUUGCCUCUUGGUCAACUCCCAAAUUUCCCAUCAGCCAGCUUGACCCCAGGCUAAGCCAUAAAGCCCCAAACUUGGCGUCCUGUACUUGGGAGCAAAAGCCAGUGUGCUCCAGGGAAUCUCCCUGACCUAGCGAGAGUUGAGGAACCCAUAAAACCACUGAAAACAAAUUGUUGGUAUAUACGUACAGGUCUGCCAUUAUUUUAAUUGAGUAAAAACAUAGUUGACGUUAUUUCAAUAACUGCAUAGGUCUAAAAUCAUCUUGCUAGUUUAGCAAAUAAAAGAGUAUUAACUUAGUUUUCAUUUUAACUUAAAAAACUGUUUAAAUAACCAAUACACUAACCAUAGCUUCUGCUUUCCCUGCUGCUUCAUUUUAUCACCACAAGGAAAGGUAAAAGGUUCGGCAGAAUGGCAACAACAGACAUACGUGCUGCCAGCUUCCUAUCACCUGCCAUCAGCAGACAUCAGUAAUUAACCACCGCAUCACUCUCAGAACC
rnacentral:lncRNA from 1 species